rnacentral:rRNA from 1 species
CACGUAGGGCGCGAGCGUUGUCCGGAAUUAUUGGGCGUAAAGAGCUCGUAGGCGGCCUGUUGCGUCCGCUGUGAAAGCCCGGGGCUUAACCCCGGGUGCAGUGGAUACGGGCAGGCUAGAGGUAGGUAGGGGAGAAUGGAAUUCCCGGUGUAGCGGUGAAAUGCGUAGAUAUCGUGAGGAAGACCAGUGGCGAAGGCGAAUCUCUGGACAGUAACUGACGCUGAGGCACGAAGGCUAGGGGAGCAAACGGG